CGGUGGCGCGGAGAGGCCUGCUGCGCGGGAUCCCUAAUGGCGGCUGGACGCGGGGACCGGAAGUGCCGCGUGCCCGCCCCGGAAGUGCAGUGCGCCUCCCGCCUCCGUCCUCCCAGUGCCGCGGCGAGCGUCAGAAGGUUCCGCUGCGCAGGCGAGUUCCGGCGUCCCUCGAUUUCUCCCGGUGUCUCCUGGCUUCCGGCGUCCGCGGGGUGUCCUCAAGGUGGUAAAGAAGAGUACAGUUUGGUCCUUGGCCAGAAUUAGGAGGGAAGAAAGCGGCGCAUUGUUUCUCCCACCAUCCCCAGAAGUCUUGAAGUCUGGUGGGGACUUUUGGCACCUGCAUCUCACUCACAAGGCCACCACUGAUUUCAGGCUGCUUUAAGAAGCAACAAGAACCCCUUGGAUGUUUAAACAACACACUGACCAUAUUCUGUGCCAAACUACUGAUCCUAGUGAUUUUUCUUUCUUCUUUGUACUCCUCCCCUUGAAACGCAUAUGUGCCCUCAGUUUUGCUGACAUGAAUUAGUGAAGUGCCAGGGUCCUUGGUGUGGACGUUGACUGCUCCCAGCACCAGCUCUCCUAUGGCUCCAUUUUCUGGCAAGACUCGUCUCUGCUUAGCCUGACAUGGGUAGGUACAAAGCACAGAAGAGUGGCAAGGGCAGAGCCUUUGUUGCAGGCAAGGAAGGGCCAGUGGGACUGGUGUACUGCCCCCGUGGAGUGUCCCACACACCUCCACCCUAGUCAGGCCCUGCUCCUUCUGAACUGCUGGACAACCUUCACAUAGAGGUGCUGUGGCUAUUUCUGGCCUAUGAGGCAAAUGCAUCAUUUCAGUGCCUGCCGGGCAAGUCCCAAGUUCCAUUUGUUUGCACUUUUACCCUUUAUGUUCAGCAUUGUGAGGAAUUUGUUAUUUCCCUACAGUCCUGAAUUCCCUGGCCUUUCACACUGUUUGUGGCCCUGGUGACAUCCUCCGAUUUGACCCUGAGGGAUGUUUGCCUCAAGAGGCCACAGGCUGUUUUGGGUGGGAGCUGCCAGUCUCACUCCUGGCUAUAAACAGGCUCUGACUAAAACUUUGAUAUCCAGCUGGGUCAGCAGCUAUGCCAGAGGGGCUGUUUCUGCUCUUGGAAAGUCGCUGGAGCAACAUUCAUUCACACAGGGAUGGUCUACACAUUCACUAUCCCACCCUAUUCCCCCGCUUCCCACAGACUCCCAGGGCCCAGGAGUCAAUAACAGGUGUGUGGCUAUGCCCAAACGGACUCACCUCCAACAGCCCCAGGCUUUUUAGUGAAAAACAAAAAAUUUAUUGACUUUUUGACAAAUACAAACUUUCAAAAUAAGGAAAUGGAUUUAAUCAAAAUAUUCAGGGAACUGAAACCCAUUUUUCUUUGUAGUUAUGCACUUUAAUAUAUCAUACAUAGAUGGGAUAUAAUUUCUCAUUUUUCUUAGUGUACAUGUUGCAGAAUAAUAUUAGUUAUGUAAUCACAUAUAUACAUACAGUAAUAAUGUCUUGUUUCAUUCUACUGUCUUUUCUAUCUCCAUUUUAAAUGCAGUAUUUGAUUAUAUAAAAUUCUCUGUAGAAAAAGCACCCUAAAUUUAGGACUUUAAAUCCAUAGCAACAAAAAAUUUCGUUUACUAAAUUGUUCAAAGCACACUGCUAAACAUAUAUGACAUUUAAAAAUCUCACUGAAAGGGAGAAGCACUGUAGAAAGUGAUUUCAGAGAGGUACAUCACACAGAAUGAAAGUGCCUCAGACUCAAGCCAGUCUCUAGAUGCUGUCAGAGUCCUAUCCCCAGUAAUAUGCUGUCUUGGCACCUCCUUUCAAGCCACGCAGCCUUGGAAGACAUGGGCCAUUUUCAUCCAGGCAGUAACCAAAUUGCCCAAGGGACUGUGGUUAGAACUAAGGAAUCAUACAGCCCGAAGGUCCCCGUGGGAGAGAGGAGCGUGGAGGCUUCACGAGGGCUGUGGUGGGCCCAGCCCAGAGGACAGGGAAAGCCAGGAAGGCAGAACCCAACAGGCUAAUAGGCUUAUGGAUGUGAAAACCCAAAGUGGGUGGUAGUGUUGUCAUUAUUAUUAUUUUGGAACUAGAGAUGUCUAAGCUACAUGCCCAGCCCCAGCACCACCACCACCCCUUUUUUUUUAAUGUUUGGAGGCAGGAUCUUGCUAAGUUGCUUAGGGCUGCACUAAAUUGCUGAGGCUGGCCUUGAACUUGCAACCCUCCUGUCUCAGCCUCCCCAGUUGCUGGUUACAGGUGUGCCCAUUGUGCCCGCCAAAGUGGGUACUGACAGCAUAUCAAAGAGCUUCUGAAUUCGCGGAGACAAUACCAAUGUCCUCCCAUCUCAUUCAAGUUUUUCUCCUUUCCAAUCUGACCAAAUUACUACUAGGAAAGAUAAACGAUGAACAUUUUAUUCCAUUUCCAGGAAGACUGCUCCCCCCUUCCCCCUCCCCCUCCCCCUCCAUGGCUGCUGAAGAAACCAGAUCCACUUCUCUUCUCAGGUCGGGUUCCAGGGAUGACUCCCCCCCUGUGGUGCCCAUUCCAGCGUGUCUGCACAGGGGUCUGCAGGCUCCCUCUUCUCGGGACCAGCCCUUGGUUCUUUUUGCUGUUGCUCCCGCCAUAGCCUGAGUCCUCUGUACCCCUCCUGCUUGAGGGCAAGCUCUUGGCAGGUACAGCUGCCAUCCCACCUGUGAUUGGCUGAAGUGCCAAUCACUCUUCCAAGGGCAGCAACCCAGGAGGUUGUUAGCAGAGCAGCAGCCUGGGAAAGCUGAAUGUAGCCUCUCAUGUUCAGCAGCAUGAGCCCAAGAUGUUUUUCAAAAAUAAUGUUCCACUAGCUACCCUAAGGAGUACGUGCUGUGGCAGACACCAACUCACUUCAUUGUAACACCAAAUGUCCUCCCAGGGAAGAACUACAGCCUCAUUUCUAUCACAAGGGAGGAGGGCAGGAUCUCCCACUGUGAUGAGAUGCAGCCUCUUGCAAGCUUGCCUGACCUUUGGAAGUCAUGGCUUUGGUAGUGAUUCUCUGUGGUCUCCUUGAUUGCUGCAAAUGAAUUUUGCUGUGUGAGACAACUACCCUUGUGUUUUGAUCUGAUUUAAUUCCACUAGCAGGCAGGACUGAGGACAUGAAAAGCAACCAUGUCAGGGCACAAGGGUACACGGCCAUAGCACACGACUACGGCUGAGGAUACCAAGGCUGAGGCGCUCCUCUCUGGAACAGGCCAGCCAGCUUUCCACUACAUUGGAGCAACAGGGAGGAGACAAAUCCUCUUUCCCUCACAGCCCAGAGCCCCAGGAGCAGGCUCCCUGCCCAGCACCCUCCUGGCCACCAGGGGCCCCACACGUGACCUGAAUGACCUGCAAACAAGCUCUCCUCUGUUAAGACACACUGCUCACCAUGACCUAGUGCUGGGCUGGGUGUGGGCCCCCGGAAGUUACUCCAAGUGUUCUACUUCUUUUUAGACCAGUGAGAAGAGCAGAAAGAGGCUCAGCAGGCACCUGGUCUACAUUCCAGGGCCUCAUCCUCCCCAGGGUGGUGUCUGCAUCCUGGCCUCCUAAGUAGCAACUGUCAUCCCAAAGUGCCUCAACACACCAUGUUGGGGCAGGCCUUGUGGGCCACUGAAGACUAACAGACUACCACCACUGCCUACACAGGCAGCUAGGAGGGAAGCAGGUGAAGGUGCUCUCUCGAAAAAGGCCCAUGGCUGUCCCCUGAGAUUAAGGGGUUUACAGAAAUGUCAAGUACUAUAAGACAAAGUACUAUAAGACUGUCAUGCAUGAAGCUCUCCUCUGAAACAUGACAAAUGAACAUCACCAACAUUCAGCUCCAGUGGAUUGCAAAUGAAUGGAAUGGAGACAGCCUGUCUCCAAGGUCACACAUCAAAUUCCCAUUCAUAUUCUUAAAAUGACAAACCAGAGACAGAGGACAGUCAAGUUGCUCAGCAGGCUGGGCAAGCAUGGACGCGGAACCCAGCUCUGUUACCAAUACAGUACCAAUGCUUCUCUGGGAAAAUGCGACCAAACAAAAGUGAAAUUCAGCUGGGCACAGCGGUCUAUAAUCCCAGCAACUCAGAAGGCUUAAGUAGGAGAAUCAUGAGCUGGAGACCCAGGCUCAGCAACUUGCACCCUAUUGCAAAAUAAAAAACAGAAAGGGCUAAGAAUGUAGCUAAGUGGUAAGACACCCUGGGUUCAAUCCCCAGCACCAAAAAAAAAAAAAAAGUGAAAGAGAAGCUGUCACUGGGCUGAGCGGGACCCAACACCAUGUCCACUGGGUGCUUGGAGGCCGUGUGCAUGCCACUGGUGCUUUCCUGUUGUCUGAAGGGUAAAUGCUAGGGUCUCACAGUGGGUUAAAUGUCUAGCUGGACUAAACAAGACAGUUUUCUUGGUGAAAAGCAACUUGGUUCUGAGGAGACGGUGGGCUCUGCCCUGUGCUCACUGCAGGUUUCAUGUGCCCCAAGAGAGCGAGAGCUCCAGAAGAUCAUGACAAGUCAAUCUACGGGCGGGGGCCUCACGCGGUGGGAGACCCGUCCUGGAACGCUACACACUAGGCAGGAACGCUACACGCUAGGCAGAUUCUCUUGUUUGAUUUAAUAAGAUAAUUUGGAAAACGCAGUCAUGAGACUGCCAAAGUACAGGGAUGCCCUGGAGCAGAGCUUUGCGGGAGGA